ensembl:lncRNA
UUUUUUUUUUUUUUUUUUUUUUUUUGUCUUUUUAGAGCUGUACCCAUGGCAUAUGGAGGUUCCCAGGCUAGGAGUUGAAUCAGAGGCGUAGCUCCGACCUCCACCACAGCCAUAGCAACACUGGAUCCUUAACUACUGAGGGAGGCCAGGGAUCAAUUCCGCAUCCUCAUGGAUCCUAGUCGGGUUCAUAACCCACUGAGCCACAGUGGGACCUCCUAGAGAGGUUUUCAUUAAGGGCUGAUGUAGGGCCACUUCUGGGUUCUCUACCAAAUUUUCUGGGCAUCCAGUGAGAUUUCUCUCCUCUGACUGGAAAGACUCUUCUUACAAAGAUUUCUAGUCUUGUGUGAGCUCUGGGAAGUAUGCGAUUACGUCUCUGCAGGAAUGGCUCUUUUGCUGAAGGAUGUUCUUGCCCAGCCUUGCGGGGUUUCACUCUGUACCCGGCGCAGAUGGCGAAUCCGCCUAAAGCUCGACCGAAGCCCUGUGUGGGUUUGGAGCUCCUCCUCUGCUAGGUUCCUCCUCUGAGUCUACCAGCAAAUUCUGGCUGCCCUUUGCCUCUCCAGACUCUGGACUCUUUAGCUCUGGGAGUCUGGCGGACCCUGUCUGGGCUCCUCCCCCUGCCCUGCGGGAGCAGCGGGCUCAUAGCACUUGCUUCCCUUUUCUCAGAGAUUGCAGUCCUGUGCUACCGGUUUUCUAACCUCUGGAAGUAGUUUUUUCUUAGACUCGGUCCCGUUUCUUCAUUGUGUGUGGCAAAAGGGUCGUUUCAGUCCACCUUUCUUGCUCCUGGCCAGAGUCAGAAGUCCUUCUCUCUCCUUCCAACUCCCCACAUCCCUUGCCUGUCCGUCUUCCCAGGUUCUGCUCCUGCUCUGAUUUGGAUUCUGAUCCUCUGCAUUGGACUAUGACCAUGUGACAAGGCAAGGGCCUUGUCUUAUUCAAAUCUGCAUCUACAGGGCGUCCCACGGGGCCUGGCACCGAAUAGCCAUGGGGCAGGUGCGUUUUUGUGCUUUGGUCUUCCCUGCUCUCUUCCUUUAAGAAUCCUCAAAUCAUGGGGUUCCUGUUGUGGCUCAUGAUUCAGAACCCGACUAGGAUUCACGAGGAUUUGGUGUGAGCCCUGGCCUCUCUCAGUGGGUGAAAGAUCCAGCAUUGCCAUAAGCUGUGCUGUAGGUCAAAGAUGGGGCUUGGAUCCUGUGUUGCUGUGGCUGUGGCUGUGGUGUAGGCUGGCAGCUGUGGCUCCGAUUUGGCCCCUAACCUGGAAACUUCCAUAUGCUGCAGGUGCGGUCCUAAAAAGGAAAAGAAAGGAAGGAAGGAGGGAGGGAGGGAGGAAGGAAGAAAGGAAGGAAGGAAGGAAGGAAGGAAGACAGGGAGAAAAUAGUAACGGGAAUCCUCAAAUCACGUCCCCAUCCUUUUGAAAAUUUAUUAAUUAAAAAUUUCUUUUGGAGUUUCCCAGUGGCUGAGAGGGUUAAGGAUCCAGCAGUUGUCACUGCUGUGGUGCAGGUUUGAUCCCUGUCCCUGGAACGUCCACAUGCCCCAAGGUGGGGAAAAAAAAUCUUUCUUUUUUAACCUCUGUCCAAAGUUGUUUUUUUUUUAGGUUUUUUUCCCCCAUUAUAGCUGGUUUACAGUGUUAGAAUUUUUCUUUUUUUAAAAUUGAAGUAUUGUAGUUCCCAGGUGGCCCCAGUGGUUAAGGAUUUGGGGUUGUCACUGCUGUGGCUUCAGUUCAGUCCCUGGCCUGGGAAUGUCCGCAUGCCAUGGGCGUGGUUAAAAUAAAAAUAAAAAAAUAAAAUUGAAAUAUAGUUGGCCUAGAAUAUUAUAUUAGAUUAGGUGUACAGCCUAAUGAUUCAAAAUUUUUAUACACUAUACAAAGUGAUUAUAAUAUUAUUGACUGUAUUCUCUGUGUGGUACAUUGCAUCCCCAUGACUUAUAACUGGUCAUUUAUAUCUCUUAAUACCCUUCACCUAUUUUGCCCGUCCCCUCACCCUGCUCCCUCUCGCAGCCACUAGUUUAUUCUGUGUAUCUGUGAGUCUGUUUCUGUUUUGCUGUAUUUGUUUUGUUUUAUAGAUUGCAUACGUAAACGAAAACAUACAGUAUUUGUCUUCCUUCCUUUCUUUCGGCCGUGCCUGUGGCAUGCAGUAGGUCCUGGGCCAGGGAGUGAAUCCGUGUCACAGCAGUAACUCAAUGCCAGAGCCUUAACCUGCUGUGCUACAAGAGAACGCCAGUAUUCGUGUUUCUUUGUUUGGCUUAUUUCACUGAGCAAAAUAUCCUCCGGAUGCCUCCACUUAUCACAAAUGGCAAGAUUUCAUUCAUCUCUAUGGCCAAUGUUCAUAUACAUAUACACACAUAUGUGUGUACACACACACACACACACACACACACACACCUCUCACAUCUUUAUCCAUUCGUCUGUUGGUGGGGACUUAGACGGCUUCCAUAUCUUGGCAAUUAUAAGUAAUACUGUGAUGAGCUUUGGGGUACAUAUAUCUUUUUUAAUUAGUGUUUUCAUUUUCUUUGGAUACGUACCCAGGAGUGGAAUUGCUGUAUUGUAUGGUAGUUCUAUUUUUAAUUUUUUUGAGGAAGCUUCAUACUGUUUUUAUUCCUAGAGAACUGUUCCUCCCACUCCACCCAGGAGGUACCGCCAGGACCGCUGGUCAAGGUCCCCUCCCUGCUGGGACCUGUGAUUGGUCUGGGGGUGGCCAUGAGACUCAAGGCAGGACAUGUCAGACUCCCGCCCUCAGCUUUUGCUCCCUGGAUACAUGGGAAGGGUCCUCUCUGUACCCUGGUGACAGGGACACAAGGACAGCGACCUGGUGCUGCCUGCAGUCAACGUUCCCACUGGAGAGAAUGAUGCCAACAGAGAGGGAGUGAAGAUGAAAUCGGGAGAAAAGUCACACACACACACACACACACACACACACACACACACAGGGACUCAAGUCCCUCAAUCCAGGUCAGUUUCUUUUUAUGAGUUAGUAAAAUAAGCCCAUUACUUAUUUUAUCCUUUUUGGCUUAAUUUAGUUCUGUCAAUUGCAAACCAAAGGGCCCUAACUAGUACAGGCCGUCUCUGUAUACUUGCUGAAUGACAGAUUUAAUUUGCAUAUCUGCCUCAUUCCCAGUGCCUGUGAGGUAGCUUCCAACAAGAAUGAGGACAAUAAAAUUUUAAAAUGGAAAUACAGUCUCAAGGAGUUCCCAUCGUGGCACAGUGGAAACAAAUCCGACUAGGAACCAUGAGGUGG